GAGCCCUUGGAGACGCUUGAACUCAGCUCUCAUUUUCCAGAACAGGAAACCAGAGAAAUUAGAAGUAGGCUUUGCAGUGCCGUGAAGAUCUUUGUGAAGAAAGAGGUGUUCACCCAUUGAGAGAUGGGGAAUUCAUUCUGGCUUAUACAUGGUUUGGCUUGAAUUUGGAUGUGGUUCUCUAGUGCCGUGAAGAUCUUUGUGAUGGAAGAAAUGUUCACCCAGUGAGCCAUUCGGAGAAGAAUGCAUGAUCUGGAACUAAAUUAUGUCCACUGUGAAGAUAAGGAUGAAUGCCCCCCAGACAGUGCCCAGGCUAGUACUCCUUCAAAGACAAGAUUCCCUUCCCAGGUACUGAGGUCACAUUGACUUGCUGUUUAUGUGCUAAUCUGUUUCAUUUGAAACCUUUAAAGAAUAUGUUAAUACCUCUACCAUCGUUGAUGUUCUUCAUUCUGACAAGAUAUAAAGCUCUGCUGAAAGCCAUGCUUCUCCAGAGGGCUGUCUUCUUGGUAGAGCCUGCACUCCUGGGCUGUAGUCCUUAGUUGGGCUGAGUGAAACUCUGUUUUUUUCUGUUUCUUUCGUAGAUUGUUGAUUGAGUAUUUGCAUCGACGUUUGGAACUUCCGGGCUUGUGCUUGCUUAUAAGCCAACACCACCUCUAUUAGCUAAGAUUGUUUGAGUGUGUCCCACAUCAUGCUGAUCCUUGUAUCUGCCCAGAAGUCCGGACACAGCAGUCCCUCUGUCCCUGCCCCCCCUGCAGGUCUACCAGCAGUUCCCUUAGCUGAGCACUCUAGAAUCUAGCCAGGAGCUGUCCAACAGCUGUUUGGUUGUUUCCCAAACCAGGUUGGACAGGGCUACAUGCUGAGUUUUCUUAAGUUAGAACCUGUGAAUGAAAAAUAUUGCCUGCCGUAUCAGAAUGUUGCAGCCAUCAAACCUUUACAUUACAUCCACCCGGAAGGUGAGCCCUGACGGCACUCAGGAAGAAGGCAUGAUCCCCCUCCAUCUAGCAGUCAGCCACUGCAGCUAUCCUUGUCAGUGCACCCCGAGGAGAGUCUGGAUAAGAACAGAACACUGGCUGCAGAUAGCUGAGGUGCAUAGCAAAGGAAUGAUUUCAAAAAGCCCAGGCUUUGUAUCUUCCCUUACAUAGAAAAGUGCUAAAUUCCUUUGAGAUACCUGCUUUUCCUUAAUUUACAGUGAUGUUUUGAUGUUCUG
ensembl:lncRNA